UACGUAGGGUGCAAGCGUUGUCCGGAAUUAUUGGGCGUAAAGAGCUCGUAGGCGGUCUGUCGCGUCGGCUGUGAAAACCCGGAGCUCAACUCCGGGCCUGCAGUCGAUACGGGCAAACUGGAGUGUUGCAGGGGAGACUGGAAUUCCUGGUGUAGCGGUGAAAUGCGCAGAUAUCAGGAGGAACACCGGUGGCGAAGGCGGGUCUCUGGGCAACAACUGACGCUGAGGAGCGAAAGCGUGGGGAGCGAUCCGG
rnacentral:rRNA from 1 species